AGGUGAUUGACGGUUUGAGUUGGUGGACGAUUGUGGAUCGUAUUUUGAGCUGAAUUGAAGACGCAGCGGGAUUAUCGAGCGGGUAAUCCUACAGGACAGGAGAACCAGGACGGUGAUCGCGCGGUUAGAGCAAUUGUUAGAGUUUUACAACAAUUGUAAGUUGUGAGGUGUGUUAUGCUCAUUUGAGCUUUAUAAUAUAUUGUGAGAGUGAAUUGUAAUAAUGAACUCGAAGUUUCGAGAUUUGGAUUUUGUAAUUGUAAUUAUUCAGGUUUCGGAUUUGAAUUUAUCAUUCAAAAUCCGGGGCGUGACAGUUUGGUAUCAGAGCGUAAGGUGCAUAUUUGGUGAUGUGUCAAUACCUUCCGAGUGAUGGCCCGUCUGCAGCGGAUCCCCAUCGUGUGCUCUUCGGUAUUGGCUAAGUCAUUGGGUAUGCGUGAGUGUUGGGAGUUGUUUAGGCCGCUAGGUCGUUUAGGGAACGUGAAUACAUUCCCUAUAGUAUUGACUUGGUUAAUAUGAAUUUGUAUUUGACUUAUACUGUGUUUUAAGUGUUAUACAAGUAUUAGCCAAGCAUACUAUACUCCUUAGGUGAUGGAUAUUCGAAAGGGUUGUACUUAGAACCUUACAGUUGUCUUGUAGGUUCGUAUGGGAAUAAGUUCAGUGGCCGCGAGUUACAAUCCUUGAGGAAUAGGAACCUCUUGAUUCAACUCUGUUAAGUCAACGAGGAUUGUUUUAUGGAAAUGAGGUUCUUUUGAUUGUUGAAGUGUUUGGUUGAAGGCAUGGUCUGGACCUAUGCUCGUCUGUAAUGUGGAUACGAGUAUUAAUCGAUGGUAAUUUUGCCUUUUUAAGUUGGAUAUACUAAUGUUCUUGAAUAGAUUCUUGACUCAUGUGGAGUUGUGAGUAGUGUUGCGGUUAGGGAAGGAAUUAUUGCGGUUACUUCUUCCUUGUGCUUGUAAGUUGUUAAGCAGGGUUUAAGGUGCGAGACAAGAAUUUUAUUUUGUGCUCGAUGGUUAGAGAUGAGAGACCAUUGUUUUGGGUUGUCGUUGAGUACUAUAAUUCCUUCAGAAUCAAGAUUGUUGGUAGAAUUGGAAUUAGUAGUAGUUUUGGUGAUUCUGAAUUUGAAUUGAGUUCGCGAGAUGUGUCUUAUAUACGUGGUUGAUGUUACUUGCAUCAUUUUGGAACGAUACGUUACGAUUCAUAAGGAAAACUGGAUUUGAAAUUUAUUCAUUUGAACACCAUGGGUUGAUGACCUGACCGUGACUUGUGAAUAUAGUUUUGUUCAAGUGAAUGAAAUUGAAUUUUGUGGCCUUUGUGUGGUGAACUAGUUUUCUUAAGUUUUGGAUCGUAGUAUGGAGAUGGGCUGCAGUGAAUUUGAAGUUGUUGUGUGUUUUAAGUUUAAGUAGGCGGGACACUUAAAGUUUUGCAAUGGAGUUGAUUUUGGUGUAAUUAAUUGGGAGAGUUAGAAUCAGUUCUUGUGAAUGAUGUUGGAUGAGAGUGUGUGCCUUUGGUGAUUGAUUUUAGGUGUUAUAGUUAAACGCAAUUUCGGAUAUUGAUUUUAGUGAUUUUGUUAGGUAUCCAUAGUGGUUCAAGUGAAUUACUAUGUGAUAUGGAGUUUGAUUUGAUUUCUGAAUCGCUAAAUGUUAGGGAUUGAAUUGUGGUGAGUUUUUGUUGAAGCAAUUGAUAGAUGGAAUUAUCGAGAUUCUAUAAGAGUUGUAAGAGUAACUCUAAAAACGUGGGUUUUUCCUAGCUAACUCAGGAUGUGUUUAGCUUUAUAAAUCCCUAAUCCUAUCGAUGAAAUUGUUGUGUUUGGUUUGACUCAGAGGAUACUAGCUAGACCUCGAUGCGACUUAAUUGAUUGUUGGAUUCUUUUUGAGUGAUUGUUUUUAUUGCAUCAUUAUGUAAGAUGUGUGCAGUAGAGUUGUUUAUGGUUUUGAAAAUAGUAUUGGGUGACCAAGGUUCGAUCCUUGGUGUUGUUGUUGGUUAAACAAAAAGAAGAAACAACAUGCACACUAUCUUAUUGAUUUAUUAUUACAAAAAGGAAAUUGGAACUACGCUAUACUAAGCCUAAUCAGUAGCUCCGGAUGGGUUGAGGCUGAGCUCAAGAGAAACUGGAGAUCCACGGUUGUAACCGCCUGAGCCACCGAAAUAGUAAUCAUGUGCACUACCUUCCUCGGAAGUAGUCUUCAGGUUACCAAAGACGUCCUCGCCGUGCACGGGGAACAGAGGAAGAGUUUGAACCUCCUGGUGAUCUCCUCCUCGUUGUUGCAGGGAUGUUUGUCCUCCUGUUGUGCCAAAAGAGUUGUACUGGUAUUAGUAUUGAAGGGUGAGGAAGAAUAUGAAACAAAAUUUAAAUCAAGAAAUCCUUCAUUACCAGUAGAAUCGGUGGAACCAAAAUUGAGAUUAAUGGAUCUACCAUCAUCAGUAGAACUAGUGGACCCAAAAUUGAUGUCAAUGGAUCCACCAGCUGGCCCAAAAUUGAUGUCGAUGGAUCCACCAGCACCAGUAGAACCAGUGGACCCAAAAUUGAGAUCAAUGGAUCCACCAGUACCAGGAGAACUAGUUCCCAUGGGCACUUGAGCAGCCUGAUUGCGCCUCUUCAUCUGCUUCUCUCGAGCCCUGACAUUCUGGAACCAAAAAUAAAUGUUCUUGCCCUCAACCUGUCCAUACUGUUGCAGCUGGAGACAGAUCUCGUGAAUCUGCUCUGUAGUUGGGGUCUUAACUCCCUUGUCGUAGUAAAGAUCCCUGAGGAUCCUUAUUUGAUCUGGAGUAGGAACCCACCUGGCACGGCUUCGCCAGAAAUCCGUGUUGGCACUACUCCCGGCUGCUUGGUUGUUUCCUCCAUCCUCGAUUUGUUGUUGGGUUUGUAGCUCCAUCAGUUGCAGAGUUCGUGGUUCCAUGGUGAUGGGUUGAGGGGAUGUGAAGAUCGAAGAGUAAAGUUGUCGAGUGUUUGAAGGAGUUGUUGUUAAAGGGAUUAAGGAUGAUGAUGGUGUGUUGGAGAUCUGAAAGUUCAGAGGAAAGAUGGGAUUGAAUCAACUAGAUGGGAGAGAAGAUCAGAAGAGAAGGAUUGAAUCGAAGAAGAAAUGUUUUGAGUUUUGAAAGAAGAGGAAAGCUGAAGAGUUGGGAGAGAGGGGCUGGAACUCAGGAGAGAUUUUCGUUCCUUUGGAAUGAACAGUUGCGCCCUCAGAAUGCACCUAUUUAUAGAGCGAGGUGAGCGGAUCUCCACCGUUGGAUGGACGACUCCUGUGAUUCAUUCUACGCGUUGGAUUAAAGUCGCCCUAAAACACGGAAAAGCUGUUGGCGCGUGGAGAGCGUGUAAGGGGACCGAGGGAAUCUCGAGACGCUGUGGCAGACAGCUUUAGCCGAAAGUGAUUUGCUUUCCGUAAAUCACGGAAGAGACGUGUCGUGGCACGUGGAGUGUACCGACAGUUUGUUUUUAUUCUAUCGCUUAUGAUAGAAUAAAUAAAGGGAGUUGCAUGGAUAGUAAAGAGAGCAGCUGGUGCUCUAGUGGUUGAAGAGCAAAGCUCUUGUACAAGAGGUGAGAGGUUCGAACCUUGCCUCUCGUUUAUUUUUAUUAUGUUCGCUUAUGACAUAAUAAGUAUAACAUUUGUACACAUUAUAUUAAGCACAGCUUGUGCUCCAGUGGUUGGGGGACAAAGGUUUCGUGCGGCAGGUUGAGGUUUCGAACCUUGCCUCCCCCGUUAUUUUAUUUAUGUCGCUUAUGACAUAAUAAAUAUAACACGUGAGCAUAUAUUAAUGAAGGCAGCUCUUGCUUCAGUGGUUGAGAGCAAAACCUUCGUGUUCGAGGUCGGGAGUUCGAACCUUACCUCCUACAAAUAUUUUUGGAUCUCGUAUAUGCUUGAUAUACGGACGUAUAUACGGUAUGUAUGGUAUAUAUACGUAUAUACGGUCUGUACGGUAUGCAUACGUAUAUACGGUAUACCUACGGUAUGUACAAUUUCAUACCGUAGCCGAGCUAAACUUUGUGGGCCGAAUAGUAAGCCCAAAUUGGUUGGGCCUAUUCAAAAUGCUUUUGGUUCGGCCGAUUGGUAGGCCCAAAUGUUAAGCCCAAUUGUUCGGCCCGAAUGGUAGGCCCAAAUGGUAAGCCCAAUUGUUCGGCCCGAAUAGUAGGCCCAAAUGUUAAACCCAAAUUGGUUUGGGCCGGUUCGAAAUGUGGAUGGUCCGAUUUCUUCAGGCCCAAAUGGCCAGCCCUAGUGCUUAGCCCAAGGAUUGAGCAAGCCCAAGUCAUCAUCAUUGGAUGACAUAAUUUAUUGGCGUGCUUUUGGGGAUGAUUUGUUUUGAGUGAUGCAUCUCUAUGGUUGUGAAGAGUGGUGCAUGCUUAAGUUUUACUAUGGAGAUUUACCGUGAUGCUAAUUGAGUAGCGAAACACUUUGUGGGAGUGUUUACUGUGCUUGUAUGCCAGUACAGAGUGAUGAUCUAUGUGAAGAUCUAUGUGAUGAUCUAUGUGAAGAUCUAUGUGAGGAUCUAUGAGAUGAUCCAUGUGACGAUUUUGUGUAUGUGAUGUGGAGUGUUGUUGAGCAGUUGUUGUGUGAGUUUACGUUUGUGAUGAAGGAUUUAGUGGCCAUAGGAAUGUAUUUUUAUACAAAGGAUUGUGGCUCUGUAGAUUACUACAGAUUUGGAAGAGAUGGAGAUUCUAUGGUUAGGUCAACCUUAAUCGAGAGGAAUUGACUUACGCUCAAAUUUCGGGACGAAAUUUCUUUAAGGAGGGUAGACUGUAAUACCCCGGAAAAUCCAAAUUAAAUUCCGUGGAUUUUUAGAAAUGAUUUCACGAUAGUGGGAGCGAGUACGAGGCUCGGAGAAGUUGUGGAAUUAGUUCGAACGAUUUUAUUUUCGAAAACGAACGUUUUUAGGGGGUCAACAAAGUUGACUUUUUAUACGUUCAAAAUUUGGGAAAACUUCCUUCAUGAAAGUUGUAGAGCUCGUCGAUACGAGUUCGUGGACAUGUGGAACGCAAUAUUCGGAGUUCGUAUGAUUAAGUUAUGAAUUUUUGAAAAUUGGGAAUUUUCUAUAAAUAGGAAAAUUCUGAUUUUAUUUUUCAUUCAA